rnacentral:rRNA from 1 species
CCCUUAGAUGUUCUGGGCCGCACGCGCGCUACACUGACGAAGUCAGCGAGCAUGUCCUACGCCGACAGGUGCGGGGAAUCUUGUCAAACUUCGUCGUGAUGGGGAUUGAUUAUUGAAAUUCUUGAUCAUCAACGAGGAAUUCCUAGUAAGCGCAAGUCAGCAGCUUGCGUUGAUUACGUCCCUGCCCUUUGUACACACCGCCCGUCGCUACUACCGAUUGAGUGAUCCGGUGAAUAAUUCGGACUGCAGCAAUGUUUGGAUCCCGAACGUUGCAGCGGAAAGUUUAGUGAACCUUAUCACUUAGAGGAAGGAGAAGUCGUAACA